UCGAGGAUCUUCGGCAAUGGGCGCAAGCCUGACCGAGCGACGCCGCGUGUGCGAUGAAGGCCUUCGGGUUGUAAAGCACUGUCGAGGGGGAGGAACGCCCGCAAGGGUCUGACCUAUCCCUGGAGGAAGCACGGGCUAAGUUCGUGCCAGCAGCCGCGGUAAGACGAACCGUGCGAACGUUGUUCGGAUUCACUGGGCUUAAAGGGCGCGUAGGCGGGCAGCCAAGUCAGAGGUGAAAUCUUUCGGCUUAACCGGAAAAGUGCCCCUGAUACUGGCUGCCUCGAGGGAGGUAGGGGCAUGUGGAACUUCCGGUGGAGCGGUGAAAUGCGUAGAUAUCGGAAGGAACGCCGGUGGCGAAAGCGACGUGCUGGACCUCUUCUGACGCUGAGGCGCGAAAGCCAGGGGAGCAAACGGGAUUAGAUACCCGGGUAGUCC
rnacentral:rRNA from 1 species